AAUCAACCAAAGUAUUCAAAGUUAAUGCUCCUGAUAUACCUCAAUAUCAUUUUGAUUUCGUACCUUUCUCUGAAAUUUUGAGUGCUACUAAAGAAGACAGGUUACUUGAUAUUAUUGGCCAUGUUGUGGAAACAAAUGUCGUCAAUGAAGUUGAGAAAAAUGGAAAAAAGAGUAAGGUUAUGGAUCUGACUAUUGAAGAUUUAGAGAGCAACAAAAUUCAUUGCACAUUGUGGGAG